rnacentral:misc_RNA from 1 species
GAUGAAGAACGUAGCGAAAUGCGAUAAGUAAUGUGAAUUGCAGAAUUCAGUGAAUCAUCGAAUCUUUGAACGCACAUUGCGCCCGGCAGCAAUCUGCCGGGCAUGCCUGUCCGAGCGUCAUUUCUUCCCUCGAGCGCGGCUAGCCCUACGGGGCCUGCCGUCGCCCGGUGUUGGGGCUCUACGGGUGGGGCUCGUCCCCCCCGCAGUCCCCGAAAUGUAGUGGCGGUCCAGCCGCGGCGCCCCCUGCGUAGUAGAUCCUACAUCUCGCAUCGGGUCCCGGCGAAGGCCAGCCGUCGAACCUUUUAUUUCAUGGUUUGACCUCGGAUCAGGUAGGGUUACCCGAUGAACUUAAGCAUAUCAAUAAGCGGAGGA